GAUGAACGCUAGCGGCAGGCUUAAUACAUGCAAGUCGAGGGGUAGCAAGAUUGUAGCAAUACAAUUGUUGACGACCGGCAAACGGGUGCGGAACACGUACACAACCUUCCUACAAGUGGGGAAUAGCCCAGAGAAAUUUGGAUUAAUACCCCGUAACAUAGCGAUGUGGCAUCACAUUGCUAUUAUAGCUUCGGCGCUUGUUGAUGGGUGUGCGGCUGAUUAGAUAGUUGGCGGGGUAACGGCCCACCAAGUCUACGAUCAGUAGCGGAUGUGAGAGCAUGAUCAGCCACACGGGCACUGAGACACGGGCCCGACUCCUACGGGAGGCAGCGGUAAGGAAUAUUGGACAAUGGACGCAAGUCUGAUCCAGCCAUGCCGCGUGAAGGAUUAAGGUCCUCUGGAUUGUAAACUUCUUUUAUAAGGGACGAAAAAAGGUCUUUCUAGAUCGUCUGACGGUACCUUAUGAAUAAGCACCGGCUAACUCCGUGCCAGCCGCCGCCGUAACAC
rnacentral:rRNA from 1 species